rnacentral:rRNA from 1 species
CCUACGGGAGGCAGCAGUGGGGAAUAUUGGGCAAUGGGGGGAACCCUGAUCCAGCGACGCCGCGUGAGUGAAGAAGUAUUUCGGUAUGUAAAGCUCUGUCAGCAGGGAAGAAAGAAAUGACGGUACCUGACUAAGAAGCCCCGGCUAACUACGUGCCAGCAGCCGCGGUAAUACGUAGGGGGCAAGCGUUAUCCGGAUUUACUGGGUGUAAAGGGAGCGUAGACGGGGAUGCAAGUCUGAAGUGAAAGGCGGGGGCGCAACCCCCGGACUGCCUUGGACACUGGAUGGCUGGAGUGCAGGAGAGGUAAGUGGAAUUCCGAGUGUAGCGGUGAAAUGCGUAGAGAUCAGGAGGAACACCAGUGGCGAAGGCGGCCUGCUGGGCUUUUACUGACGCUGAGGCUCGAAAGCGUGGGUAGCAAACAGGAUUAGAUACCCGGGUAGUC